rnacentral:sRNA from 1 species
UUCAUAAUUAUCUUAAGGAAUGACUUGAUUCUUACUUGUGCUUGUUCUUUUUAAAAGUAUUAGAAAGGAAGAUAUCCACACGACAAAGUAGAGAGGAGCUGAUAAGAAGGGGAGUGCUUAAGGAAUUGCCUGAUCAAGAUGGAGAUGUAACAGUUAACUUUGAAAAUUCAAACGGGCACAUGAUACCCAUCGGAGAGGAAUCUACCCGAGAGGAAAAUGUAGUAAAGUCUGAAGAAGGUAAUGGCUCUGUAUCUGAAAAAACACCACCUCUGGAGGAACAGGCAGAAGAUAAGAAAGCUGGCUCCUCUCAUUCAAAAAAAACAACUGGCUCUAAAGCAUCAGGUUCGCCAUCCACUUCAUCCACCUCAUCUCGUCCCAAAGCUUCAAAGGAGACAGUUUCUAGCAAAGCAGGGACAGUGGGGACCACCAAGGGCAAGAAAAAAACUGGCAAGCAGCCAAUGACUUCUCGCCUGUCCUCAGACACAACCACUUCUGGCACAUCCGACCUUAAAGGAGAGCCUUCAGAGACCAGAGUGGAGAGUUUCAAACUCGAACAGACUGUCCCUGGAGCUGAGGAGCAGAGCACAGGCAAAUCCAAGUCCAUGGUCCCUCCACCCCCUGUGGCUCCAGCACCUUCUCCUCCGGCCCCCCCUCUCCCUCUUGAGGAUCAGUGCAUUACUGCCUCAGACACUCCAGUUGUCC